rnacentral:sRNA from 1 species
AUUGUCUCUGCCUUUACAACAGGUUCGGGCGGCGGGGAAGACGGGCGGGUGCGGGGCCGCCCCAGCCCGGGCUUUCUUGGGGCCGCCCCCCUUCUACCGGGUGUGCGAGUCUUUGGCUGCUUUUAUUCGGCUCGGGAGCUAAUUCCCCGACGGAGCCGCGCCGGGGCGAGUCCGACCCCUCCCUCCGGGCCCCCUCCCGGCCGCGCUGCCGCCUCGGCUCUGCGUGUGGGAAUGAUGUGCGCAUUGGAGGGUCUAAGUUCUUCACGCGCCUGGGGAGGCCUCCCUUUUCUUUCUUAGGCAACCAAAGCGUAUUAAUCCUACUGAUCAGUAAAUCCGAGGCAGCAGCAGGAGAGACAAACGUUAUUUUCCCGCUUGAUUCCAAGAACCUCUUCGAUUUUUAUUUUUAUUUUUAAAGAGGGAGACGAUGGACUGAGCUGAUCCGCACCAUGGAGUCUCGGGUCUUACUGAGAACAUUCUGUUUGAUCUUCGGUCUCGGAGCAGUUUGGGGGCUUGGUGUGGACCCUUCCCUACAGAUUGACGUCUUAACAGAGUUAGAACUUGGGGAGUCCACGACCGGAGUGCGUCAGGUCCCGGGGCUGCAUAAUGGGACGAAAGCCUUUCUCUUUCAAGAUACUCCCAGAAGCAUAAAAGCAUCCACUGCUACAGCUGAACAGUUUUUUCAGAAGCUGAGAAAUAAACAUGAAUUUACUAUUUUGGUGACCCUAAAACAGACCCACUUAAAUUCAGGAGUUAUUAUCUCAAUUCACCACUUGGAUCACAGGUACCUGGAACUGGAAAGUAGUGGCCAUCGGAAUGAAGUCAGACUGCAUUACCGCUCAGGCAGUCACCGCCCUCACACAGAAGUGUUUCCUUACAUUUUGGCUGAUGACAAGUGGCACAAGCUCUCCUUAGCCAUCAGUGCUUCCCAUUUGAUUUUACACAUUGACUGCAAUAAAAUUUAUGAAAGGGUAGUAGAAAAGCCCUCCACAGACUUGCCUCUAGGCACAACAUUUUGGCUAGGACAGAGAAAUAAUGCACAUGGAUAUUUUAAGGGUAUAAUGCAAGAUGUCCAAUUACUUGUCAUGCCCCAGGGAUUUAUUGCUCAGUGCCCAGAUCUUAAUCGCACCUGUCCAACUUGCAAUGACUUCCAUGGACUUGUGCAGAAAAUCAUGGAGCUACAGGAUAUUUUAGCCAAAACAUCAGCCAAGCUGUCUCGAGCUGAACAGCGAAUGAAUAGAUUGGAUCAGUGCUAUUGUGAAAGGACUUGCACCAUGAAGGGAACCACCUACCGAGAAUUUGAGUCCUGGAUAGACGGCUGUAAGAACUGCACAUGCCUGAAUGGAACCAUCCAGUGUGAAACUCUAAUCUGCCCAAAUCCUGACUGCCCACUUAAGUCGGCUCUUGCGUAUGUGGAUGGCAAAUGCUGUAAGGAAUGCAAAUCGAUAUGCCAAUUUCAAGGACGAACCUACUUUGAAGGAGAAAGAAAUACAGUCUAUUCCUCUUCUGGAGUAUGUGUUCUCUAUGAGUGCAAGGACCAGACCAUGAAACUUGUUGAGAAUUCAGGCUGUCCAGCUUUGGAUUGUCCAGAGUCUCAUCAGAUAACCUUGUCUCACAGCUGUUGCAAAGUUUGUAAAGGUUAUGACUUUUGUUCUGAAAGGCGUAACUGCAUGGAGAAUUCCGUCUGCAGAAAUCUGAAUGACAGGGCUGUUUGUAGCUGUCGAGAUGGUUUUAGGGCUCUUCGAGAGGAUAAUGCCUACUGUGAAGACAUCGAUGAGUGUGCUGAAGGGCGCCAUUACUGUCGUGAAAAUACAAUGUGUGUCAACACCCCGGGUUCUUUUAUGUGCAUCUGCAAAACUGGAUACAUCAGAAUUGACGAUUAUUCAUGUACAGGUAAACGGUGGCUAUUUGUGAAAUAAAAUCUUUUUAUGUCUUAAGUUU